rnacentral:rRNA from 1 species
CCUACGGGAGGCAGCAGUGAGGAAUAUUGGUCAAUGGUCGGGAGACUGAACCAGCCAAGCCGCGUGAGGGAUGAAGGUACAGAGUAUCGUAAACCUCUUUUGUCAGGGAACAAAGGCGGGGACGUGUCCCCGGAUGAGUGUACCUGAAGAAAAAGCAUCGGCUAACUCCGUGCCAGCAGCCGCGGUAAUACGGAGGAUGCGAGCGUUAUCCGGAUUUAUUGGGUUUAAAGGGUGCGCAGGCGGUCUGCUAAGGCAGGGGGGAAAGCCCGGGGCUCAACCCCGGCCCCGCCGUGGAAACUGGCAGUCUCGAGUUGGAGAGAAGUAUGCGGAAUGCGCGGUGUAGCGGUGAAAUGCAUAGAUAUCGCGCAGAACUCCGAUUGCGAAGGCAGCAUGCCGGCUCCACACUGACGCUGAGGCACGAAAGCGUGGGUAGCGAACAGGAUUAGAUACCCCUGUAGUC